GGUGGGCCCUUCGGGAGGCAGCAGUAGGGAAUCUUCCGCAAUGGGCGAAAGCCUGACGGAGCAACGCCGCGUGAGUGAUGAAGGUCUUCGGAUCGUAAAACUCUGUUAUCAGGGAAGAACAAACGUGUAAGUAACUGUGCACGUCUUGACGGUACCUGAUCAGAAAGCCACGGCUAACUACGUGCCAGCAGCCGCGGUAAUACGUAGGUGGCAAGCGUUAUCCGGAAUUAUUGGGCGUAAAGCGCGCGUAGGCGGUUUUUUAAGUCUGAUGUGAAAGCCCACGGCUCAACCGUGGAGGGUCAUUGGAAACUGGAAAACUUGAGUGCAGAAGAGGAAAGUGGAAUUCCAUGUGUAGCGGUGAAAUGCGCAGAGAUAUGGAGGAACACCAGUGGCGAAGGCGACUUUCUGGUCUGUAACUGACGCUGAUGUGCGAAAGCGUGGGGAUCAAACAGGAUUAGAUACCCUGGUAGUCCACGCCGUAAACGAUGAGUGCUAAGUGUUAGGGGGUUUCCGCCCCUUAGUGCUGCAGCUAACGCAUUAAGCACUCCGCCUGGGAACC
rnacentral:rRNA from 1 species